GUUGGGUAGGGGAGCGUUCUGUAAGCCUGUGAAGGUGUGUCGUGAGGCAUGCUGGAGGUAUCAGAAGUGCGAAUGCUGACAUAAGUAACGAUAAAGCGGGUGAAAAGCCCGCUCGCCGGAAGACCAAGGGUUCCUGUCCAACGUUAAUCGGGGCAGGGUGAGUCGACCCCUAAGGCGAGGCCGAAAGGCGUAGUCGAUGGGAAACGGGUUAAUAUUCCCGUACUUGGUGUUACUGCGAAGGGGGGACGGAGAAGGCUAUGUUGGCCGGGCGACGGUUGUCCCGGUUUAAGCGUGUAGGUGUGUGUUCCAGGUAAAUCCGGUUCACUUUAACACUGAGGCGUGACGACGAGGCACUACGGUGCUGAAGCAACAAAUGCCCUGCUUCCAGGAAAAGCCUCUAAGCAUCAGGUAACAUCAAAUCGUACCCCAAACCGACACAGGUGGUCAGGUAGAGAAUACCAAGGCGCUUGAGAGAACUCGGGUGAAGGAACUAGGCAAAAUGGUGCCGUAACUUCGGGAGAAGGCACGCUGACACGUAGGUGAAGUGAUUUACUCAUGGAGCUGAAGUCAGUCGAAGAUACCAGCUGGCUGCAACUGUUUAUUAAAAACACAGCACUGUGCAAACACGAAAGUGGACGUAUACGGUGUGACGCCUGCCCGGUGCCGGAAGGUUAAUUGAUGGGGUCAGCGCAAGCGAAGCUCCUGAUCGAAGCCCCGGUAAACGGCGGCCGUAACUAUAACGGUCCUAAGGUAGCGAAAUUCCUUGUCGGGUAAGUUCCGACCUGCACGAAUGGCGUAAUGAUGGCCAGGCUGUCUCCACCCGAGACUCAGUGAAAUUGAACUCGCUGUGAAGAUGCAGUGUACCCGCGGCAAGACGGAAAGACCCCGUGAACCUUUACUAUAGCUUGACACUGAACAUUGAGCCUUGAUGUGUAGGAUAGGUGGGAGGCUUUGAAGUGUGGACGCCAGUCUGCAUGGAGCCGACCUUGAAAUACCACCCUUUAAUGUUUGAUGUUCUAACGUGGACCCGUGAUCCGGGUUGCGGACAGUGUCUGGUGGGUAGUUUGACUGGGGCGGUCUCCUCCUAAAGAGUAACGGAGGAGCACGAAGGUUGGCUAAUCCUGGUCGGACAUCAGGAGGUUAGUGCAAUGGCAUAAGCCAGCUUGACUGCGAGCGUGACGGCGCGAGCAGGUGCGAAAGCAGGUCAUAGUGAUCCGGUGGUUCUGAAUGGAAGGGCCAUCGCUCAACGGAUAAAAGGUACUCCGGGGAUAACAGGCUGAUACCGCCCAAGAGUUCAUAUCGACGGCGGUGUUUGGCACCUCGAUGUCGGCUCAUCACAUCCUGGGGCUGAAGUAGGUCCCAAGGGUAUGGCUGUUCGCCAUUUAAAGUGGUACGCGAGCUGGGUUUAGAACGUCGUGAGACAGUUCGGUCCCUAUCUGCCGUGGGCGCUGGAGAACUGAGGGGGGCUGCUCCUAGUACGAGAGGACCGGAGUGGACGCAUCACUGGUGUUCGGGUUGUCAUGCCAAUGGCACUGCCCGGUAGCUAAAUGCGGAAGAGAUAAGUGCUGAAAGCAUCUAAGCACGAAACUUGCCCCGAGAUGAGUUCUCCCUGAGACUUAAAGUCUCCUGAAGGAACGUUGAAGACGACGACGUUGAUAGGCCGGGUGUGUAAGCGCAGCGAUGCGUUGAGCUAACCGGUACUAAUGAACCGUGAGGCUUAACCUUACAACGCCGAAG
rnacentral:rRNA from 2 species